AGCGGGUGGCGAGUAAAUGUGCUUGUGUGAUGUUAUGUUGCUUCUACCAACGUUUGUGUUUCAGUGGGGUGAUUGGUUUUAUGCUGUGUUCUACCGAGCGGCCCCCUGUUGACUUCAAGCACCCAGUGAAUUCGAUAGAUGCAAAUGACAGUAAUAACAAAUCCAAAGGACCCUUGAAAUUUUACAACCCAGAGAUUCAUACAGCGGCUUUCUGUUUGCCAUCCUUUGCGAAGAAGGUGAUUGAAAGGAAAUCAAAUUGAAGAAACUUUCAAGAAUUCAUGGCACAAGUGGCUGCUGUUGUGGAGUGCCGUUGAAUGGCUUCAAAACAAUGGUUCAUCUGCCAGUGAACCAUGGAAUAAGUAAUUUAAAUUGAGUGUCGGGAAAAGAGUUGUAGUAUUUUGGAUGGUUUUACCGAAUUUUCUCAUUCCUCAUUAAUUAGUCGCCUCUGUUUCUUGAGGUGUGAUUAUUAUAUUUCAGUUGUUACAAAUAGGGCUACA